rnacentral:tRNA from 1 species
AGACAACGAAAUGUUUAAUAUUAUUAUUUUGUCACCUUAGGUCGAUCGGUAUCUCACGUUCUUAAUUUAUUAAGAAUUUCAUUUCCUAAGUUUUUCUAGGUCACACCCAUUAUUUUUCCUGGGCCAUUAGCUCAGGUGGUUAGAGCGCACCCCUGAUAAGGGUGAGGUCCCUGGUUCAAGUCCAGGAUGGCCCAUAUCUCUAUGUUGGGGGUAUAGCUCAGUUGGUAGAGCGCCUGCUUUGCAAGCAGGAUGUCAGCGGUUCGAGUCCGCUUACCUCCACUGAUUACCACCUCUUCCAUAACCGGUAGAAAGGAAAUUUUUUGAGUUGUGAUCAAAUUCUGAAAGAAUCUAGCUUCCUAAUGAAAUCAUUAAGAUGCUGGACUCAUUGAAUUAAUUUCAUUGUUUUCAGAGAACCUUGACAACUGCAUAGAUUAUUUUAAAGACAAUAAGCAUCUCUAAUGAUGCAGAUUUAUUAUUUGUGCGAAUGCAUUAAUAACAAUUCUAUUAAGCUGAUGCUUCAAUUUUUGAAGUUAUU